ACGGAAGUGGUGGAAUGGUAUACACAUGGUAUUUAGGAUGCCACGGCCUAGUCGUAUGGGUUCAAAUCCCAUCUUCCGUA
rfam:Smittium culicis strain GSMNP scaffold-9575, whole genome shotgun sequence.